rnacentral:misc_RNA from 1 species
GCACUCAAGAUAGAAAUCCUGUUACUUCCUGCCCACAACUUCACAGGAUUUGAGAACGUCAAUUUCGGGUGUUCCAGAGCACCAUAAACAGUCCCUGUGAGUUGGCCGUUGAUAUAAACCUGCAAAGAAUGGCCAGCUGAGUAUACUGUAAGGACUGGUAAAUGGCCGUUCUUUAAAAAUUGUUCAUUUUGACCUAUGUUGACAACUGUUGUGUACCACAAGUAGUCUGUACGAUCUCU